UUCUUAGUUUUCAUAUAUAUAAAAGUCUCCCUCUCUUCCGUCUUCUCUUCUGUAGCUGCGACAGCAAGAUUGUCUCAGUUAACUGAGGCUACUGCUCCCUCUCGAUGGCGCUAGUUACUCCCGGCGGGUGCGCACGAUUAAGUGUGGCACCGACCGUUAACGUUAGACGGAGAAUGACGACCUUUGCUACUCUAUCCCCUCCAAGAGGUGAAACGGUCGACUGGGUCGAGGCAACUAAUAGCUUCUUCGAACGAGACUCCAGACCCAUCAUGUUGUUCGAUGGUGUGUGCAACCUUUGCAAUGGAGGAGUGAGGUUUGUGCGUGACAAUGAUCGCAACAGGAGAAUCAGGUACGAAGCUCUUCAGAGUGAGGCAGGUAGCAAGCUUCUGAGGAGGUCUGGAAGAGCUCCUGAUGAUAUUUCAAGCGUUGUACUUGUUGAACAGGACAGAUCAUAUAUAAAGUCGGAAGCCGUAUUGAAGAUAAUGGAAUACAUUGACUUGCCUUUUCCCCAGCUAGCAUUUUUCCUACAUUUUGUACCUCUGUUCUUGAGGGAUUUUGUUUAUGACAAUGUUGCAAACAAUCGUUAUACAAUUUUUGGCCGCUCAGAAUCAUGUGAGCAGGUAUAUACCUGCGGCUUACGUAUCCGUAUUGAGGACGGAUUAGAAGAAUGAAUCCUAGAAGAAAUCCUGAAAGAAAUCCUCCUAUAUGAGCUGAAUUGUCCACAUGAGGAAUCAGACCGAAGGCUAGAUUCAGGAUAGUCCAGUUCAAGAAGAGCUCAGAAAGCAUGGAUCCCAGAAGUCCAAGAAGUGCACCAGAUGCACCAACUGAAAUAUUCGGCUUCGGACUAAGAGCUGACAUCAAGCUUCCACCAAAACCAGAUAAUAUAUACAAUACUCCUAUCUUCACUGCCAUAUCCAGUAAGUUGAGUAUCAAUAGUGAUUGAACAUAAUAAAACCAGUUUUGGUGAUUUGAGCUACAUAAGUUCCUUACAAAAUCCAAAUUCUUGCUCAAGUGGGACUCCUAUAAAUAGAAGGCUCAUCAUGUUUGUCAAGAGAUGAGCAACUCCAGCAUGUAGCCAUAUGCAAGAAAACAAGCGCCAUCCUUCUCCUUUCUUCACUACUGCUAUUGGAUCAAGUGCUCCCAAACGUUCCAGCCUGUGAAGAUUAGAAACAAUAGUAACAGUCAGGUUAAAGUUAGGCUAAGUACUUAUUUUUCUCCUAUUUUUCAAAUUUGUUAACACAAAUUAUUUAAUAAUUUUGAGCUAGUUUUAUCAA